UACCCUUGACAUGUCCGGAAUCCUGCAGAGAUGCGGGAGUGCUCGAAAGAGAACCGGAACACAGGUGCUGCAUGGCUGUCGUCAGCUCGUGUCGUGAGAUGUUGGGUUAAGUCCCGCAACGAGCGCAACCCUUAUCAUUAGUUGCUACGCAAGGGCACUCUAAUGAGACUGCCGGUGACAAACCGGAGGAAGGUGGGGAUGACGUCAAGUCCUCAUGGCCCUUAUGGGG
rnacentral:rRNA from 1 species